UUAAAGAGCACGUAGGCGGACUGCCAAGCGUCUUGGGAAGUCCCCCGGCUCAACCGGGGAAUUGCUGGGCGAACUGGUAGUCUUGAGGCAAGUAGGGGCAGAUGGAACUCUUGGUGGACCGGUGGAAUGCGUAGAUAUCAAGAGGAACGCCAGAGGCGAAGGCGAUCUGCUGGGCUUGACCUGACGCUGAGGUGCGAAAGCCAGGGGAGCAAACGGGAUUAGAUACCCCGGUAGUCCUGGCCAUAAACGAUGUCCACUAGAUCGGUGAACUUCUGACAGUGUGCCGGUCGAAACAAAAGCGUUAAGUGGACCGCCUGGGGAGUACGGUCGCAAGGCUAAAACUCAAAGGAAUUGACGGGGGCUCACACAAGCGGUGGAGCAUGUUGCUUAAUUCGAUGCAACGCGAAGAACCUUAUCCUGGGCUUGACAUGCUUGGAUGCCCAUCUGGAAACAGAGUAGGCUGCCCUUCGGGGUGAAACUUGCACAGGUGCUGCAUGGCUGUCGUCAGCUCGUGUCGUGAGAUGUUGGGUUAAGUCCCGUAACGAGCGAAACCCUUGUCGUUAGUUGCCAGCGCGUAAUGGCGGGGACUCUAGCGAGACUGCCGGUGUUAAACCGGAGGAAGGUGGGGAUGACGUCAAGUCCUCAUGGCCUUUAUGCCCAGGGCUGCAAACGUGCUACAAUGGCGAGGACAAACCGACGCAAAGCCGCGAGGUCGAGCAAAUCGGAGAAACCUUGCCCCAGUUCGGAUUGGAGUCUGCAACUCGACUCCAUGAAGUCGGAAUCGCUAGUAAUCGCGUAUCAGCGUGACGCGGUGAAUAUGUUCCUGAGCAUUGUACACACCGCCCGUCAAGUCAUGGAAGCUGGGAGCGCCCGAAGUCG
rnacentral:rRNA from 1 species